GUUGAUUAGUGUUAACCUAAAAUUAUCACGUCCUGUGAGAACGGUUAACUGACCUGCAUCACGAAGG
rnacentral:sRNA from 1 species